rnacentral:rRNA from 1 species
CCUAUGGGGCGCAGCAGGCGCGCAAACUUUACAAUGCGAGCAAUCGUGAUAAGGAAACCCUGAGUGCCUGUCGAUGCAGGCUGUUCAUAUAUCUAAAUCAUAUGUGAAGAAAGGGCAGGGCAAGACCGGUGCCAGCCGCCGCGGUAAUACCGGCUGCUCGAGUGAUGGCCACUAUUACUGGGUUUAAAGCGUCCGUAGCUUGACUGUUAGGUCCCUUGGGAAAUCUUCACGCUUAACGUGAAGGCGUCUAAGAGAUACCGGCAGUCUUGGAACUGGGAGAGGUAAACCGUACUUCGGGGGUAGGAGUGAAAUCUUGUAAUCCUCGAGGGACGACCUAUGGCGAAGGCAGUUUACCAGAACAGCUUCGACAGUGAGGGACGAAAGCUGGGGGAGCAAACGGGAUUAGAUACCCCGGUAGUCCCAGCCGUAAACAAUGUGCGUUAGGUGUGUCGGUAACCACGUGUUACUGAUGCGCCGAAGAGAAAUCGUGAAACGCACCACCUGGGAAGUACGGUCGCAAGGCUGAAACUUAAAGGAAUUGGCGGGGGAGCACCACAACAGGUGGAGCCUGCGGUUUAAUUGGAUUCAACGCCGGACAUCUCACCGGAUAAGACAGCUGAAUGAUUGUCAAUCUGAAGGUUUUACAUGACUAGCUGAGAGGAGGUGCAUGGCCGUCGUCAGUUCGUACUGUGAAGCAUCCUGUUAAGUCAGGCAACGAGCGAGACCCACGCCGACAAUUGCCAGCAGCAUCUCCGGAUGGCUGGGGACAUUGUCGGGACGCCUCUGCUAAAGAGGAGGAAGGAAUGGGCAACGGUAGGUCAGCAUGCCCCGAAUUAUCCGGGCUACACGCGGGCUACAAUGGACGGGACAAUGGGUAACACCACCGAAAGGUGCAGUCA